UCAUUGACAGAUUUGGGAUGUCUUGGUGGU
rnacentral:piRNA from 1 species